rnacentral:rRNA from 1 species
UGGGGAAUUUUCCGCAAUGGGCGCAAGCCUGACGGAGCAAUACCGCGUGAGGGAGGAAGGCUUUUGGGUUGUAAACCUCUUUUCUCAAGGAAGAAGCACUGACGGUACUUGAGGAAUCAGCAUCGGCUAACUCCGUGCCAGCAGCCGCGGUAAUACGGAGGAUGCAAGCGUUAUUCGGAAUUAUUGGGCGUAAAGCGUCCGCAGGUGGUGCCUCAAGUCUGCUGUCAAAGACCGAAGCUCAACUUCGGGCAGGCAGUGGAAACUGAAGCACUAGAGUACGGUAGGGGUAGAGGGAAUUCCCAGUGUAGCGGUGAAAUGCGUAGAUAUUGGGAAGAACACCAGUGGCGAAGGCGCUCUACUGGGCCGCAACUGACGCUGAGGGACGAAAGCUAGGGGAGCGAAAGGGAUUAGAUACCCCCGUAGUCC